GGGAGCUAACAGGACUAGAUACCCUGGUAGUCUACGACCGUAAACGAGUGCGCAACUAGGUUCGAGACAUACUGACGGCCAUCGUGCCGAAGCAAAAGUCCUCAGUGCGGCCGCCUGGGGAGUACGGCCGCAAGGCUAGAACUCAAAGGAAUUGACGGGGGCUCACACAAACGGUGGAGCAUGUGGAUCAAUUCGAAGCAACGCGAAGGACCUUACCUGGGUUGGACACUGCUCGGAUGCCCUUCUGGGAACACGGAGUAGAGCUUGCCUUCGGCUGAAACGUGCACAGCUGUUGCAUGCCUGUCGUCAGAUAGUGCUGUGAAAUGUCGGGUUAAGUCCCUUCCCGAGCGAAACCCUGCUAGCUAGUUACCAGCGGGUCAUGCCGGGAACUCUAGCGAGACUACCGGCGUUAAGCCGGAGGAAGGUGGGGAUGACGUCACAGUCAUCAUGCACUUUAUGCCCAGGGUGUCACACGUGAUACAAUGGGGCGUACAGAGCGACGCAAGACCCUGAGGUGGAGCAAAUCGCAGCAAGCGUCCCUCAGUUCGGAUCGGGGUCUGCAACUCGACCCCGUGAAGUUGGAAUCGCUAGUAAUCGCGUAUCAGCCAUGACGCGUUGUAUACGUUCUUGAGCCUGGUACACACCGUCGCACGUCAAGUCAUGGUAGCUGGGAGUUCCCGAAGUCCCUGCGUUUCACCAGUGCCGACAGGUAAGCCUGGUCACUGGGACUAAGUCGUAACAAGUAACNC
rnacentral:rRNA from 1 species